CAACCUCGAGGCAGACUAUCUCCUUGCUGAGUAGUUCGCCUUAUGGGAAACCAUUAUAUUUUGGUCCAUCAUACAUAUAUAUUAAAAGAUUACAUAUAUACUAAACGAAUUGUAUAUAGCAAACUCAAGAUAUAUUUUGACUAUAGAAAGCCAUACAGGCCGAGGCACACGACGGCCUGGCCCACGGCACGACAUUUUGGCCC
rnacentral:lncRNA from 1 species